AAAGGAAACCAUGCCAAAAGUUGCAUCUGUGCCUUUUGCAAGUUGGUGAUAAGAAAGCAAAAGAAAUCUCUCCAUUUUCAAGAUAGCUUCAAAAAGAAAGCAACCAGACAUGGAACCACCUCCACCACCACUUCAUUGCCAGCGGCUCUUGCAUGUGAUGUCCUUGGAUGCCCAAAAGAUUAGCCAGUCUCAUCCUCCUGGCCCAUGUCACAGGGAUCAAAGACAUUUCUCCAUCUACAAACUUAAACUCCUGCUCUCUGAAAGUGAAGAGGACAAAUUGAAAGUUAUAGUCUGAGAAGAUUAAUAGGGACAUCUGACUCUUGAGGGGGCAGCAGUCCUCUCAUGUGGCAAUGCAUUACGAGCAACAGAAAAGGUUCUUCUACUCUGGUACUUUUCAGAGUUCAACUUCAGCCAUCAGCUCACACCCAAGGACCAUUAUUGACCACUACAGCUGCAUCACUUGCACCAUGGCACUUUCUAACAUCCAGGAGAACUCAAUACUUCCGUUAUAAAGAAUAUGGACAUGAAGAUCACCUUGUGUAUUUGUGCCCCUGAAUGUCUUCCACUUGAGGAAAAACCUGUGUGCUAUUGAAUAAGGUCCUGAAACAUAAUUUAAAAGCAUCACCACCAGUAAAACCCCAUUAUGAAGAGAGAGAAGGUCUUCUUGAACAUUAUUCAUUUGAAUCAUGGAGCUGUAUAGAAGCAGAUGUUGAUAUGAUGCAGCUGACGUGUGACAGAGUACCAAAUGGACAUCCUUCAAAAGCCAGUUCUAACUUCCCUAAGUCAUCACUACUACAUCUCCUAGUGGGACAUAUUUUUUAGGGAAUCACUCAGCAGGUGUAUCAGCUUUCCCAGUCCUAAAUUCUUUUCAGCUGCAUAUUUCUUUCAGAGUGAAAAUUGGAGCCAGUGUAGGCUGUGAAUUGCUGUGAAGACAUCGAAGCCACAUUCUUCACUUUUAAGGGACUGGUGUGGUGGCAUACCAGAGUCUAAUGUUCCAUGCAAUUUAUGAUUUUCCACUUUAUUGAAGAAAUAAUUCUGUUUGUAGUUUUAUGAACUUGCAGUCUUGAAUACACAGUACUGCAGGUCACAGUUUUAUCUAUAGGCUCUUCCAUCUUGAAUGAAGAAUUACUGUAUGUUGUUAAAACCCUGGUUUCCAAGA